rnacentral:rRNA from 1 species
CUCNGAUGCAGCGACGCCGCGUGAAUGAUGAANNNNUUCGGGUUGUAAAGUUCUGUCCUUGGGGAAGAUAAUGACGGUACCCAAGGAGGAAGCCCCGGCNNANNACGUGCCAGCAGCCGCNNNNNNNCGUAGGGGGCGAGCGUUGUCCGGAAUUAUUGGGCGUAAAGGGUUCGCAGGCGGUCUGAUAAGUCAGAUGUGAAAGGCGUAGGCUCAACCUACGUAAGCAUUUGAAACUGUCAGACUUGAGUUAAGGAGAGGAAAGUGGAAUUCCUAGUGUAGCGGUGAAAUGCGUAGAUAUUAGGAGGAAUACCAGUGGCGAAGGCGACUUUCUGGACUUAUACUGACGCUGAGGAACGAAAGCGUGGGGAGCAAACAGGAUUAGAUACCCUGGUAGUCCACGCCGUAAACGAUGAGUGCUAGGUGUUGGGGGUCAAACCUCGGUGCCGCAGCUAACGCAUUAAGCACUCCGCCUGGGGAGUACGUACGCAAGUAUGAAACUCAAAGGAAUUGACGG